CCUUGAGCUUCCAUCAGUGGAAGAAACCAUCAUAUGAAAAUCAAAAUCAACCUGUUUGAGAUACAAAUUCAGGCACUCAUACUAUAAUCACUCAAGAGUACAACAAAAAACUAACCUUCAAUUACAACUAUUGUUCACUCAAGAAAAACAUAAUAAUCCUCAAUAUACAAAUCACACAAGAAACAUAUUACAUUGAGAAAGUGUGAAAGAUCGAAAGACUUCCAGAUUUCUAGAGUGAGAAAGAGGCGAGGAACUUCAAGAGUUCGAGAGAGAAAGUUGAAUGGAU
rnacentral:lncRNA from 1 species